rnacentral:rRNA from 1 species
GGUGAACGCUGGCGGCGUGCCUAAUACAUGCAAGUCGAGCGAACAGACGAGGAGCUUGCUCCUCUGACGUUAGCGGCGGACGGGUGAGUAACACGUGGAUAACCUACCUAUAAGACUGGGAUAACUUCGGGAAACCGGAGCUAAUACCGGAUAAUAUAUUGAACCGCAUGGUUCAAUAGUUAAAGACGGUUUUGCUGUCACUUAUAGAUGGAUCCGCGCCGCAUUAGCUAGUUGGUAAGGUAACGGCUUACCAAGGCAACGAUGCGUAGCCGACCUGAGAGGGUGAUCGGCCACACUGGAACUGAGACACGGUCCAGACUCCUACGGGAGGCAGCAGUAGGGAAUCUUCCGCAAUGGGCGAAAGCCUGACGGAGCAACGCCGCGUGAGUGAUGAAGGUCUUCGGAUCGUAAAACUCUGUUAUUAGGGAAGAACAAAUGUGUAAGUAACUAUGCACGUCUUGACGGUACCUAAUCAGAAAGCCACGGCUAACUACGUG